rnacentral:SRP_RNA from 1 species
GCCGGGCACGGUGGCGCAUGCCUGUAGUCCCAGCUACUCGGGAGGCUGAGGUGGGAGGAUUGCUUGAGCCCAGGAGUUCUGGGCUGUAGUGCGUUAUACCGAUCGGGUGUCCGCCCUAAGUUCGGCAUCAAUAUGAUGACCUCCCGGGAGUGGGGGACCACCAGGUUGCCUAAGGAGGGGUGAACUGGCCCAGGUCGGAAACGGAGCAGGUCAAAACUCCUGUGCUGAUCAGUAGUGGGAUCGUGCCUGUGAAUAGCCACUGCACUCCAGCCUGGGCAACAUAGCGAGACCCCAUCUCUA